rnacentral:lncRNA from 1 species
CUCUGAUGCUGUUAGACAUCAGCUCAGGCUCAGACUUAUUACUUCUGAUAUGUCACUGCUCAGGCAGGGAGCCUAAAGCAACACUGCUCCCUCCAGCCCUCGCAGGCUUCAGCUGGAUCCUCACCGGCCCACGGAGCAGAGCUGUUUCUGCAGCAGGAACACAGAGGGAAUAUGUGGACCUGAAGAGUAAGGGCAGCACCUUAAUUUACACUGAGCCUCUGAAAUGGGAGACUAAGAAGGAGGUCAAGAUGCACAGAAGUGAUUUAGCCAGAGCCACAGAGAGAAUGGGAAAGACUAAAACUCACCAAAAGCAUUGCUUAAUUCCUCACCAAGGUGCAAGUAAAUAAAACGUGCCACGUCGGUGCUUGUCUCUCACAUACCUUCUGUUUGCCUGAGAUGAAAUCGGGAGGCAAUAAAUGGAGCGCUUACUGGAGGAGCCA